GUUGCUUUUGCAUCUUAAUUUUUUAGUAGAUUUGGUAAAAACAUUGCCAAAUUAAUUUCAGUACUAGGUGAAAUACCAACACUCAAGUCUCGAGGAUUGGAUAAUGAUCAAAAAGCUAUACUUAUUUUAUGGAAGCACAAAUAAACUUUUACGGUAGGUUGGUUUAUCCACGAUUUCUGUAACAUAGCUACAACUAUCUGUAAAAGUAACCACGGAGAUAUUCA
rnacentral:misc_RNA from 1 species